CCUUUCUCUUCUUCUAAAUUUCUGAUCAUCCCGUUUUCCUAUUCUAGGGUUAGAAUUUUUAUUUCCCAUUUCCGAUCUUUCCCUCUCUCUUCUACGCAAGAGGGAAAGCAUCGGUGUUGACGAUGAUUCCAUCAAUGGGGACGAUUCGAGUGUCAGCAACAAGUUUGUAGAGGUGACCAAUGGAAUUGUAUUGUAAGGGAGAUUUUGAGCCAUGGUCCAUCCACUGGGCCAUAGGAUCUAUGGUCUAGAUGACCAAAACAUGGGCUACAUUUGUACGAAGGACCUGAGGAUGCUUGUUUAGUAUGGAUGGAGAUUUUGCACCUGUGAUUGAACUUGUGGAGCUUCGGAAGAAGCAUGGAGUUUUAUUGGUCAUUGAUGAUGUAAGUGUGGCUUCUAAUUCCAAUUAGAGCUGCAUGAUUGUGUCAUAAAAAUAGUGAUUAAUCUGAUGCACUGACAUUUACCUGGAGUUUCCUCAGGCCCUUAGGACACUAGUUUGUGGCAACCAUGGUGGUGGAGUGGCAGAGCAGUUUGAUUGUGAGAAUGAUGUAGAUAUAUGCAUCGGAACUUUGAGCAAGCUGCAGGUUUCCACGAUGGUUUCAUUGCAUGCAAAUUUCAUGCAUGCUAACUGUUUAAUGAAAUGGCUCAAGGUCCUUUGCCUAGGAAAUGAAGGUGAGUACAUAGUAAUUUAGCCUUCUUCUUUUUUCUUAUCACCUUUUAUUUUGUUGCAAACUCCAAAAUACAUGUAUGGUAUUCUUAUUUCUCUACUUCGUAACU